GACGAACGCUGGCGGCGUGCUUAACACAUGCAAGUCGAACGGAAAGGCCCUGCUUUUGUGGGGUGCUCGAGUGGCGAACGGGUGAGUAACACGUGAGUAACCUGCCCUUGACUUUGGGAUAACUUCAGGAAACUGGGGCUAAUACCGGAUAGGAGCUCCUGCUGCAUGGUGGGGGUUGGAAAGUUUCGGCGGUUGGGGAUGGACUCGCGGCUUAUCAGCUUGUUGGUGGGGUAGUGGCUUACCAAGGCUUUGACGGGUAGCCGGCCUGAGAGGGUGACCGGCCACAUGGGGACUGAGAUACGGCCCAGACUCCUACGGGAGGCAGCAGUGGGGAAUCUUGCACAAUGGGCGGAAGCCUGAUGCAGCAACGCCGCGUGCGGGAUGACGGCCUUCGGGUUGUAAACCGCUUUCGCCUGUGACGAAGCGUGAGUGACGGUAAUGGGUAAAGAAGCACCGGCUAACUACGUG
rnacentral:rRNA from 1 species